GAUGAACGCUGGCGGCGUGCCUAAUACAUGCAAGUCGAGCGAACGGACGAGAAGCUUGCUUCUCUGAUGUUAGCGGCGGACGGGUGAGUAACACGUGGAUAACCUACCUAUAAGACUGGGAUAACUUCGGGAAACCGGAGCUAAUACCGGAUAAUAUUUUGAACCGCAUGGUUCAAAAGUGAAAGACGGUCUUGCUGUCACUUAUAGAUGGAUCCGCGCUGCAUUGGCUAUUUGGUAAGGUAACGGCUUACCAAGGCAACGAUGCAUAGCCGACCUGAGAGGGUGAUCGGCCACACUGGAACUGAGACACGGUCCAGACUCCUACGGGAGGCAGCAGUAGGGAAUCUUCCGCAAUGGGCGAAAGCCUGACGGAGCAACGCCGCGUGAGUGAUGAAGGUCUUCGGAUCGUAAAACUCUGUUAUUAGGGAAGAACAUAUGUGUAAGUAACUGUGCACAUCUUGACGGUACCUAAUCAGAAAGCCACGGCUAACUACGUG
rnacentral:rRNA from 1 species